AUGCUUUGACAGCCCAUAUACUAAAAAUUGGAAUGAUACAGAGAAGAUUAGCAUGGACCCUGUGCAAGGAUGACACACAAAUUCAUGAAGUAUUCCAUAUCAAA